UGGGUGUUCAGAGAAGAUCUCUUUAUGCC
rnacentral:piRNA from 1 species